GAUGAACGCUAGCGGCAGGCUUAAUACAUGCAAGUCGAGGGGCAGCAGGACUGUAGCAAUACAGUUGCUGGCGACCGGCAAACGGGUGCGGAACACGUACGCAACCUACCCAAAACUGGGGGAUAGCCCGGGGAAACCCGGAUUAAUACCUCGUAACCUUUUUAAGUGGCAUCACUUGAUAAGUAUAGCUCCGGCGGUUUUGGAUGGGCGUGCGCCUGAUUAGGUAGUUGGUGCGGGUAACGGCCCACCAAGCCUGCGAUCAGUAACUGGUGUGAGAGCACGACCAGUCACACGGGAACUGAGACACGGGCCCGACUCCUACGGGAGGCAGCAGUAAGGAAUAUUGGUCAAUGGACGCAAGUCUGAACCAGCCAUGCCGCGUGAAGGAUGAAGGUCCUCUGGAUUGUAAACUUCUUUUAUGGGGGACGAAACCCGGAUAUUCUUAUCCGAUUGACGGUACCUCAGGAAUAAGCACCGGCUAACUCCGU
rnacentral:rRNA from 1 species